UACGUAGGGUGCAAGCGUUGUCCGGAAUUAUUGGGCGUAAAGAGCUUGUAGGCGGUUUGUCGCGUCUGCUGUGAAAUUUCGGGGCUCAACCCCGAACUUGCAGUGGGUACGGGCAGACUAGAGUGUGGUAGGGGAGACUGGAAUUCCUGGUGAGCGGUGGAAUGCGCAGAUAUCAGGAGGAACACCGGUGGCGAAGGCGGGAUCCUGGGCCAGUACUGAC
rnacentral:rRNA from 1 species